rnacentral:misc_RNA from 1 species
GUUUUGGAUUGUACAUUACGCACAAUAGACAUUCCAUUACAUUCAAGAGUGUGUAAAAGUACUCUCGAGUCACCGGCCCGUGAGGGCACACAAAGGGGCAACUCGGAGUCAUAGGAUGCACAGGUGUGUGGAUAUGCGACCUGUUAACGUGCACAUGUGUCGCCACCAGCACAGAUAACAAAGCCGACUGAAGUUUCUUUAAUGAUCCUUCCGCAGGUUCACCUACGGAAA